GACGAACGCUGGCGGCGUGCCUAAUACAUGCAAGUCGAACGCAGUGGGGACGGGUGAGUAAACCGUGGGUAACCUCCCAUCAGAGGGGAUAACACGUGGAAACAGGUGCUAUAUCGACACUGAUGGAUGGACCUGGGGUGCAUUAGCUAGUUGGUGGGGUAACGGCUCACGAAGGCCACGAUGCAUAGCGGGCCGGAGAGGGUGGACGGCCACACUGGAACUUGGACACGGCCCAGGCUCCAGCGGGAGGCAGCAGUAGGGAAUCGUGGGCAAUGGACGAAAGUCUGACCGAGCAACGCCGCGUGAGUGAAGAAGGUUUUCGGAUCGUGAGUCGCUGUUGUUAGAGAAGCGGUAUCUAACCAGGAAGCCACGGCUAACUACGUGCCAGCCGCCGCGGUAAUUC
rnacentral:rRNA from 1 species